ensembl:lncRNA
UAAAAGAAUAUAUUGAUAUCGUACACUGCAUAUGUCAUUGCUUUACCCUUUGUUAGUAUAUUCUUACAUAGAAUAUUGUGUCUAGACGCCGCAUUGCAGCAUCUUACCUUAAAGCAGUGCAGCUACCAUUCAUUUACUUUGUAACAUUAAUGCCAUCUUUAUACCAAUACUCUAGCGAUGGGACUAAUAGGACUUUAGAAAAUCACAGCACAGCAUUGUUGCAGCCCAACGGAGGCUGGUGUUUGGAGCACAGGGUGAAUGGAAAAUGCUGAAGCUGAGUCAUGAAGAACCCUCAGCUGUCGCACAUUGCCACCUGGUGGAUUGUAUACUUCCAGAUGUAAAGUACAUGUUUAAUCAUUUCACAAUGUCGACUUGACUACAUAAUGCUCCAGGAGGAAAUGAAGAUAUGUCGCCUGUGGUUAACCAGGCUUCAUUUGAUUACCGUAACAGCAUGAUUACUUAAAAUAAUUUAAAUCUGAGGUUUAGUUUUACAUAAUGAAAUGUCUGACGCUCUGCGAUUGUGUAAACAAAGUGUAUAUACUCUAAUGCAAACAAGUGUACAUCAGAUUCUAAAGGUUUUAACGUUUUAUUAAAAAUAAUAUUAAUUUGCUUUAUUUUCCAUCCAGUCGUAUUCUGCAGAAAAGACAAUGAAUACCUUUAUACAGAGAGAGUUUUUCAGCACAGCCAUUUGCACUUAUUUGUGUGGGGAUUCAGGAUUAAUCAUCCUAAAAAAAUAACAAUACAUCAUGAACCAAAUGUUUUUAGGGCUUGCAGUUCACUAAGUGCAAUAUUCUGAGGACAUACACAUUAGAAUCAAUGAAUAUGUAGCUGAUUGGUCCCUUUAGUCUGAAAUUGAAUUGAUAAUUGUGAGGAGGUCACUAGUAUUAUUAUAAUGAGUUCUCUCUCUCUCUCUCUCUCCGUCCCUCUAAUAGCACAUCAGCUGAGUGGGCAGCUGCUGGACAAAAGCAGAACUAGUGUAGGUGUGUUAUUCAGCCACAUCCGUUUUUCGCUGGAACAAUGGAACGUGACCCCGUGUCACCCAUCGCUCCACCACACACGUCAGAGGAUAACUUCUUGACCUGACAGUUUCACCUAUUUGAUGAGGACCCACGUCUUUCCGACUACAUUGUUCUGUAAAAGUUACUAAUGGGUUUUUAAAAAAACAUUUUAUUUUCAUUUAAACCUUUAUUUAACAUUGAGAUGAAACGUCUCUUUUUCGAGGGAGAACUGGCCAGGACAGGCAGCGACAUAGAAACGCAUAGUUUCAGACAGAAAACACACAAUAAGACGAGUUAAAAGAAACUAGAAGUUUAAGAGACAUGAUGUAACCAGGUUAAUAAAAAACAAAACACUGACAUUUUUGGGAACCUGCCUCCAUUUCCUUAAUUUUAGAUUGAAAAGCAGUAAGUCGUAUCAAUUCUUUACGUUUAAUAUCUUUCUGCAACGUAUUCGCCGAUGAGGGUGCCGACUACACAAAAGCCCUUUUCCCCAUUUCCGUUCUGGCAUUUGCGACAAGGAGCACAAAAAAGUCCUGAGAACGCAAAGAGUUUCUGCAUGACGACAGACACACAGGUAGCUUGGUGAGCAGACCAAGGACUUGCCUCACAAACGAAGGCCAAAGCCGGCCAUCCCACCCGAGAGCACGACUCACAGUGGUGAGUGAGAGGCCACGGUAAGCAUGGCAACGACUGCACCUACUUACCGCUUUGAAGAAGAACCACCACUUACGUCGGGAUGCUUUUGAUGAGUUAUCUGAGGUAACAGGUUGACAGACGAGGCCUGCAGGAGGGAUGUGCCUCUAAACACUCUGAAUUCAGUGACUCAUUUGUUUAAAGAGGGAUCCAAACAAAGCCCACGUUGCCUUUCCUAAGCCUUACGGGGGGAUUCUGUUUUCCGACAACACAAAAGUGUUUACGUGGUGCGACAAGUUGAGAGAGAAAAAUGAUCACAUUGAAAAAGGAAAUAGGACAAUUCUGUAAACAACAAAGGCUCGGACUCUUUGACAAAGUUUAGCACACACCCACAACCCGUGAGUAAGCAUGGCAGAUGGUUACUGCUCUACAUCACAACAUAAAGAUGACUUACUGCAAGAGGAGCAAACAGAUUCUACACCACACGCGAUGUUUACGUGUACGAGCAAUCGGUGCACGUGCAGAGUGUCCGCAGGCAAGCAAGCAGGUAGACAAGCAGAAAUUACAUUGUGAUUGGAUGAGAUGAGAAUUUUAACAAAUAAAACAAAACUUUUAAGACGAUGGCCAACCUGUAAUGUAUGCCUUUGUGAGGUUGUCUUUGGGUGAGAAUGUUAAAUGUGCAGUUGUGAGUUUUGCUUUGUGAUGCCAAUGUAAAUCCAAUCAACACUUCAGUUCAUCAAAUGUGGCAGCCAAUUUAUGUUAUAUGAUAAAAUACAAUGAAGUUUUGCAGUCAUCCAGGAGGAAGUAAAUAUGUUGUGGAUCUUACUGGCCUGGAUAUAGUCACACUUUUAAUGGUUUCUUUUGCCCUCUGCUGGCCUGUAGCAGAAAUUGUAUGAAAAUAGAAUUGAGUUCAAAUAUGUUGCAUUGGAAUUUAUGAAUACUUAUGAAUAUAGUGAUAUUGAUGUAUGAAAAUUUGAGUAGGAAACAAUAUUUUACAACUUUUGCAACAAUAUGGCGUUUGAACAAAACCUGUACCGUGGGUAAAUUUG